GAAUUAUAAUAUUUAAUCAGGCCCUGUUGUUAAGGAUUUCGAGGGGUCUGGAGCGGGGGUUUUUCGUAGGUUACGUUCAUUUCCCACAUAUGAAUGGGCCUUGAUUAUUUGCCACCAACCAGGCCUCAGGCCCUGUAAAAAUGACAGGUGUGUGACAAGAUUUCGUGAUGGGAUUUUUUUUACAAGUUUGGUCAGCUUGUGAAUUGUGACUUGUGAGCAUUGCCCUCUACUCUAGUCGAAAGGGUUGUGGUGGGGCAGCCAGGCUUGAGCUGCACACUUUUGACGAAGCCCACUUGAGACUACUAACAGGAUGCCUGAUAUGUAAUUCCGUUGUCUAAUAUUCGAGUUCGCAUCCACUAGAAAAUUUUUCUUUUGGCCCAUGGGAAGCCCAAUUAACAUUGGAGAAGACGAUUUAGGGCGUGAAAGCAGUUGUUUCUAAUUAGCAGAAGGCCACCUGGUGUGAAGAAGAUGCACAGUUUCACGGGCCCUGUACUUACGAAUGUAUGGCACUGGACUCUUUUAAGAUAAGUGUACUAAAAAAAUCUCAAAGUAAUCUAUUGAGAAAAAUGAGUAUAUUAACGUGAG
rnacentral:misc_RNA from 1 species